CCUCACGCAACACCGACAUUACUACCGACUGAGAACACACAGCACUUUUCAGCCAGCCGAUUACUCUUAUGAAAUUCUAUUUCUCUCUUCCUCGUACUUUAUCAUUCACCACUGCAACACCCUGAAUCCUGUGCCUACCAGAAGGGGAGCCUCAUCAUUGUCUUGCUUCAGUUAGGGAACUCUCUGUACCUUGCUUAGAUUUAUUAGAGACUUCUAUUGAGAAUCUCAACCUAAUGUUGUUUGUUGAUGGAUCACACCUCAGAAGUGAAACUGGAGAUUAUCAAACAGGAUAGGAUAUGCUCUCCUUUCGAAUCGAGUCCUCUACCUGAGGUAACAUCAGCCCAGAUGGCAGAAGUCGUUGAGCUUACUAGAGCUUGUCAACUAGCCAACGACCAGAGAGGAAACAGAUAUACAGAUGGCAAGUAAGCUCUUGGAGGAGUGCAUGACUUUGAGAUGCUUUUCUCACCUCUGCUGUAACCACCAUAAAAACGGACAGGAAGUUAAGGAACUUUUAGAUGUCCUCUUCCUUGCUAAAGCGGUGGCUAUUAUAGAGGUUGAGCCCACGUGAAAAGAGAUAAUAUGAAAGCUACAGCAAAUGCUCUAACAGGUCCUUAUGCCAAACAAGCUGCUUUAACCAAAGCUAGGAUCCUAUCUAAAUCCUCAAAGGAUAUAUUGCUGGGGGGAUUCAAAGAGGCCAUUAUAAAAUAUCAACGCAACAAAUACCGACAACAGACAACAAAAGCCGCCAUGUGCUUUUACAGGAAGCACAUGGGAAACAAAAUGACAUAGGAGGUUGAAAAUAAAGGGAUGAAAAACCAUAUGAAGCAAGUAAUAAAAGAAGGUUAAUUGCUAAUAUAUGACGAAGUAAUAUUCUACUACAUCAAAAGGCAAAAAGAAGAAAUAGAAAUAUUUUAUACUUAUUAAAGAAAAAUCAACUACAAACCUAUCUCCUUCAUGAGUAGUCCUACCCUGGUGGGGUGUAGGCUCAUUUCUGAGAAUGUUUUGCUCCAUGUCUGCGUCCUGCUUGGCUUUGGGUCUCUUCGCUUGGCAUUGGGUCUUCCCAGAAAAAAAUCUCUCUUGUGCUUCUCUUGUGUGUAUGUCUCUGUUAUUUUUUCUUGACACUUGUUAGCGUGGUGGUGAGAGAUGCAGGGACAAAGAUGUUUUCUGAUCCUAGGACUGGGCCUCAGUCCUGGCCAAUCCCUGUGCACCUGGCGCUGGGGGCGUGGCCUCACAAAUGGUCUUGCCCCUCCUCCAGACCUAGUGCUGGGCUUUGCUCUAGUCCUGCCCUUCUUCCAGGGGUAGAGCCUUUUUUUUUUCUCAGCUGAUUGCUUCAGCCCCCUCCAGUACAGUUUGUGUUGCUCUUCCUCCUGAAGAUUCAGGCUUUUGCUUCUUAGGGGAGAUAGGUCUUGGUGGAGUUUUAGCAGGGGCUGCCAUUCCCCUCCCCCAGCCAGCCCUCAGCUGAGCACCUGGUGGGGUUCCUGAGAGAAACACACCUGUAAGAGUUUGCAGAACUCCUCUGUGUCUGGGAUUCAUGUUCUUCACAUAGCCCCCACGCAGCCUUUAGGAAUUCCUUGAAAGCUGCUGUCUGAAUCUCCUGUGGACUUCCGUGGUGUCUGGUAGUCCGCCCCAGGUGGGGUCUUCUCUCCUUCAUGCUGGCUCAACGUCUCAAGUCUUCCAUGUUGACCACUCACCUGACUGACUUUAUUCCAGCCUUGAAGUACAAAGGAGCCACAUCUGGGUUACAACUGAACCGCUGGUCUCGUCCUGCUCCAGCCAGCACAACCUGGCUGCACUUUUAUUGACCUCAUUGGGCCCUGAAUGCUGAAAGUCUGUUCAGUGGUCAAGUGUUUCUAUAAUAUUAAUACUUUAACAUUCUUCAUUGGGUUUAUGUUACCUCCAAACCACCCUCAUAAAUACAACUAGAUCUGGACAAUGGAGACAUAGGUAUUCAGGUGAUUAUUCCUAUACAUACUCAAUUUCUCCUGUCUACACUCCCAUUAAACAGUACCAUGUGCCAGAAAAAGAACCAGUCCAUUGUUCUCUCACUGCUAAAGUAUUCUGCCUCCUUCUGAACACCCUCAUGAAAGUCUCCGGUCAUAUUUACAAUUUUCCACAAGUGUAUCAAAAUAGAUGGAAGUAACCUGCUCCUCCUGCCUCCUUGAGUCAUGCCCAGGACUGAGUUUAACUAGGUGAUUUAGGGGUGUUAGACAUUCGUGCUGGGAAAAUAACUGCUGAUUUGGUUUAAAGGGUCAUUGAGCAAGGCUAACACACUGCCUGAACCCCAGCGUCAUCUGCUUCCACAUCCCCAAAAUACUAUGCUCCAGUUAGAUGGAAUGUAUUUGUUUCUACAGCGUGGCCAGGAUCUCUCUCACUUCCAAGUUUUUGCAAAUGCUGUUCCCCCUCUCCUGUUCAACCCUCCCGUCUCUUGUUGCCUUGCAAACUCCCACUCAUCCUCCCACACCGCCUAAACUGGGUCCCCUAGGAUUUAUCACGUGUUGCUACUGCUUAUUCGUCUUUCCUAGGAGACCUAAAUUCCUAAGGGCCUCAUCCUGUGCCUGUCUUGCUCAGCAUC
ensembl:lncRNA